UACGUAGGGUGCAAGCGUUGUCCGGAAUUAUUGGCGUAAAGAGCUCGUAGGCGGUUUGUUGCGUCGGCUGUGAAAUCCCGAGGCUCAACCUCGGGUCUGCAGUCGAUACGAGCAAACUAGAGUGUUGCAGGGGAGACUGGAAGUUACCUGGUGUAGCGGUGAAAUGCGUAGAUAUCUGGAGGAACACCCGUGGUGCAGACGGCUUGCUGGACCGUGACUGACGCUGGAGGCACGAAAGCGUGGGUAGCAAACAGG
rnacentral:rRNA from 1 species